GACGAACGCUGGCGGCGUGCUUAACACAUGCAAGUCGAACGAAGUGGCGAACGGGUGAGUAAAGCGUAAUCAACCUGCCCUUCAGAGGGGGAAAACAGUUGGAAAAGAAGGCUAAUACCGCAUACGGAAGGCGGGGGUUGCGUCUGAUUAGCAAUUUGGGGGGGGAACGGCCCACCAAGGCGAUGAGCAGUAGCCGGUCUGGUAGGAAGAACGGCCACAUUGGGACUGAGACACGGCCCAGACUCCUACGGGAGGCAGCAGGGGGGAAUCUUCCGCAAUGGACGAAAGUCUGACGGAGCAACGCCGCGUGAGUGAUGACGGCCUUCGGGUUGUAAAGCUCUGUUAAUCGGGACGCGGUACCGGAAUAGAAAGCCACGGCUAACUACGUGCCAGCCGCCGCGGUAAUAC
rnacentral:rRNA from 1 species